AUCCUGGUGUCUUUAGCCAAUCUGAUACACUUUAAUCCAUUUCGAACUUAAUUGUGAAACGGUUGAGCGGAAAAUAUACUUUGAGGGUCGCCUCACGGGAAACUAUCUCGGUGCCAGGAU
rnacentral:rRNA from 1 species